rnacentral:rRNA from 1 species
GACGAACGCUGGCGGCGUGCCUAAUACAUGCCAGUAGAACGCUGAAGGAGGAGCUUGCUUCUCUGGAUGAGUUGCGAACGGGUGAGUAACGCGUAGGUAACCUGCCUGGUAGCGGGGGAUAACUAUUGGAAACGAUAGCUAAUACCGCAUAAGAGUAGAUGUCGCAUGACAUUUGCUUAAAAGGUGCAAUUGCAUCACUACCAGAUGGACCUGCGUUGUAUUAGCUAGUUGGUGAGGUAACGGCUCACCAAGGCAACGAUACAUAGCCGACCUGAGAGGGGGAUCGGCCACACUGGGACUGAGACACGGCCCAGACGCCUACGGGAGGCAGCAGUAGGGAAUCUUCGGCAAUGGACGGAAGUCUGACCGAGCAACGCCGCGUGAGUGAAGAAGGUUUUCGGAUCGUAAAGCUCUGUUGUAAGAGAAGAACGAGUGUGAGAGUGGAAAGUUCACACUGUGACGGUAUCUUACCAGAAAGGGACGGCUAACUACGUG